AGCGAGCUCGGCCUUUCUCGUAUAGUUCGUUCCUCCUUCCUCCACCACCACCCAUUGCGCACCCAGCAGCCAGGCCCUCAUCGGAGUUUGCCCAUGAACAGCUAUUCCCUGGGUUGCCUUAUCUUUCAUCAUCGAUCAAAGCUUAACCCUUACCUCCACACCAAAAAACAAAAAAAAAAAAAAAAAAAAAAAAAAAAAAAGAGGCCCCGUUUCGUUUUGAAGCUGCCCUCCGGUGCCGGAUGGCGUCACCCAUUCAACUUUCCUCAGCUUUGAUUCCAUCGCAGACUCAUCCUGGCCAAGGAUCUGUGUGCGGCCUCGUAAUGAGGCUCCCUCACCCUCAAAUGACAGAGCACCACCAGCGCGCGGGUGCCGCGGCCGCAUCAAUAUCAGGGCAAAAGCCGGUUGUGUGCGUGAUCGUGAUGAUGACGUGCGGGGAAAGGACAUGCGAUUCCCUGGAAUAUGGGAAUGUGACGCUCUGACGGGAGUAGUUAGUUUGGCACUGUCAGGAUGAUGACCUGGAACACUGAGAAAGCUGUAUUUCUCAGAGAGAGAGAGAGAGAGAGAGAGAGAGAGUACUCUGAAAAUUGAACGGUUCGCGGUAGUGUUAACUAACUGGUGAAACCGCUCUCUUCUCUCUUCUCUCUUCUCUCUUCAAUUGAUAUCAUGGCUGAAUUGUGAGGCUAAAGCUGAUGAAAAGUGAAAAUUGCACUUUCAUCAACUUUUAUGAUUCCCUCAAAACCUCUUCCGGAUUCAAUGAGCUUUUGAACUGAUUCCUGCCGGGUAUUCUCGUCUUUUUAUUUGGAAAAAUUGGGCCCAUUAGGUCACCUGCCGCUGAUAUUAUGGCUGCAAUUGUCCCCACGCUCGAAGCAUGAAGAGUGAUUUAACUGAGUAUGCUUGUACAGUACAUUACAUUAUGCGAAAUAUAAAUAAAAUAAAAGAAUAAUAUGAAAAUAGAACAGCGCCGUCUUAGAUACCUUAAACCCUAUUCGUGAAGAACCAAGUGUAAAAAAAAGAACCCACCACGGCUUUCCAUUCGAAAAUCCCGCUUAACUAAACCUCAACCUCAACCGUUAGUCCACCCUCCCCAUCAUCCGUUCCCGUCCCGUUUCCAUCAUCCUCAUCGUCAUAAUCGUCCUCAUAAUCAUCACCUCCGUCGUACUCGUCCGUUCCCACGCCAGCCCCAGUCCCCGUUCCUGUCCGGCGAUGUUCCUGUCGAUGGCCGUGCGACAAAUGCGACUGCUCGCGACCCGUACUCUUGGCGGCGCUUGAAUGCUUAUGGCCCUUGUGGCUGCCACUAUACGGUUCACUAUCAUGCCGCUGAUAUCCACCACUUCCCUCACUAACGCGGUGAUCGAUGAUGACCAUCUCUCCCUCAUCAGGGUCGCCGCUCCCCUCGCCCUCGUGAUCUGUAACAUCACCGUUAUCGCGACGACGACGACGAUGGUAGGGACUGGCAGCGGCCCUGCUAGCUCGCGAGCGUUCCGCUUCAUCAGCAACGGUGGAUUCUGGAGUGGAGAGAUGGCGGCUUGGAGCCGUAGGGCCGGUUUCGCUUCGAUCCCCAGCUACGCCUCCUCUCGAACCGCUGCUGCUACUAGUUCGGUUAUGGGGUGUAUUUGUAAUAGCCCCCUGAUACUGCUGCCUCAUCUUUUGCCUAGCCAACUCAGCUGCGAGCUCCUCAUUGCGCGCAUUCUGCUCUUCCAGCCGCUUACGGGCGCCCGAACGGUCAAGUAAUCGCGCCUCGCGCUCGGCCGUGAGGCGGCGCUCGAGCUCUUGCAACCGUUUUAUCCAUUUCUCCUGUGAGGGUUCGCUGCUGGAAUGGGAGUGGUGCGGAGAGCUGACAUGCUGGUAUCGUGAUUGUUGCUGUGCAACUUGCGUGGAUGAGGAUGUUCCGGCUGGACCGACGGGGUUGUUUGUAAGUGUUGAGGAAGAGGAAUACUGGGAUGGUUGGGGGUUGCUCGAGGAACCGCGGGAGAGGGCGCUGGGGCUUCGACUAGGCUGUCGAACAUGUGCGUGUGCUUGACCGCCGGCAGUAGAAGCGUUGUCAACUGUUGUUGUGGAGCUGUAUCGAGAUAAGGUGUUGGCAGCGAGAUUAGAUGCAGACCGUCCUGACGCGCUGUGGGCGUUUCCGCUUCCAGCGGCCGCAGCGUUAGCCGCACGAGCUCGCGAAUGGGAUUGGAGAAGAUUCAACUCCGCUUUCAGAAGCCUAUUCUCACCCCUGAGUUUGGAGAUUUCGGCGCUAGAAG
rnacentral:sRNA from 1 species